rnacentral:rRNA from 1 species
AACGAACGCUGGCGUCAGGCUUAACACAUGCAAGUUGAACGGGAUUUGAUUGUAGCUUGCUAUAAUUAAUGAGAGUAGCGCACUGGUGAGUAACACGUGGGAACAUACCUUGAAGUGGGGGACAACAGUUGGAAACGACUGCUAAUACCGCAUAAUCCCUGAGGGGGAAAGAUUUAUUGCUUUAAGAUUGGCCCGCGGAAGAUUAGGUAGUUGGUGGGGUAAAGGCCUACCAAGCCGACGACCUAUAGCUGGUCUGAGAGGACGAACAGCCACAUUGGAACUGAGACACGGUCCAG